GGGGGGCAGCUGCCCCCCCUUGGCUACUCCCAUGUUCAAUGCUAUACUUAUUUUUCCUGUAAAGGGGCUUUAAUGAAACUGUCCAAAUUUACCAUGCUUAAAGUGCAAUCCUCUGCAUGUUUACUCAAAACUAUUUCCACUUAGUUCAGUGCAGUUUACUCCCAGGUAAGUAGGUAUAGAACUGAUUCUAUUAUGCAUUUAUUAUAUUUGUUAUAUUUAUAGCCCACCUUUCCUGCAAGGAGCUCAAGGCCGUAUACAUGAUCCAUACCUCCAUCUUAUCCUCAUAAUAACUCUGAGAUAGCAGGUUCAAUUCCUGGCAUCUUCAGGUAGGGCUGGAAUGACUCCUGCCUGAAAUUCUGGAGUUGCCAGUCAGUCUAAACGGUAAUUGGCUAAAUGAACCAAUGUUUUUAUUUGGUAUAAGGCAGCUUCCUAUAUUUUGUUCCUAUGUUAAAGGACAAGAAGGUGCCCACAUUCAACAUAAUUAAGUAAAAUGUACUGGCCCUUGAAUGUUACUUCAACCCUGGUAAACUGGACAGCAUGCUAACGUAGAGGCUACAGGGCAGAUCAUGUACUUAAUUUUGCUUUAUACUCCUCACCAUCUCUGCCUGCGGUAGUAGGUACUCUGAUAGUAUCUAUUAUCAGAGGACCUACUAUCAGAGUUGGCACUAAGUUAGGUUGAGAGAGAGUAGGUGGCCCAAAAUCACCCAGUCAGCUUUGUGGCUGAUUGAGCAUCAGUAGCGCUGCCAAUCAGUGGCAUUCAACUAAGUUUUACUCAGGGUGAACCCAUUGAAAUUAAUGGACAUAAUUUACUCAUGUUAAUUGAUUUCAAUGGGCUUUCCCUGUGCAAAGCUUGGGCGAACACCACCCAGUAUCUCUCACACCACUGCUUUCAUGAGUUUGUCACUGGCACAAUAAAUUCUAGAUCCAUAAAAAAAAAUCUGGACCAAACGUAGUCAUAGAUGGUUAUAUUAAGAAGCAACUACCACAAGUCUACUUGGGGUUUUAUCACACUUUUUUCUUCUUUAUGGGCUGAGAGAUAGCUUUUGAGGCUUUUUUGAAUUUGCAUGAGAUCAAACCUCAGACAUUCCUGUACAGUAAUAUAUUCACAUGAGUCAUUGGCCUCUUAGUAAACCAGGAAUCUCAGCACAGAUCUGGCAUCCAAGAUGGCAAGUUCAAGGAAAUGCAAUGCAAUGCCAGGUAUUCAAGGGGGCCAAUUUAAUGAUUCUUGUGCUGGCAGAUCAGUGCUCAGUUUGAGGCAUACUGCUCUCCAAGUGCCGUAUCACAAGCCCAUUACAUCAGGGGAUUUGUUAUAAUUCCAUUAAGGGAUGAUUAAGAGAUCAAAAACGAGAGAGCUUUGUAAUAUCACAGAUAAAAUAAUUCACCCUAGCUUACUGACCUCACAAAUAGGAACCAUGUGACACAUUUUCUUAAUUUCUGACUGCAUGUGACUUGACACAGCUAGAGAGCAUUUUAUACUACUGACAUAAGGCUAGAAGUUCUCACUUAAGCAAUAAACCUCAGCCUAGGCUGUACCACUUAAGAUUGCUGAUGAGUACUCACAGUAAGUAAUGCUGUCUUAUGGGGGCAGGGAGAAGUUUAAUAGGUUAUUGUAUUUUAAUAUUAUGUUGGAAGCCGCCCAGAGUGGCUGGGGAAACCCAGCCAGAUGGGCGGGGUAUAAAUAAUAAAAUUACUAUUAUUAUUAUUAUUUAUUUCACAUAGCUAUCCAGCAUGUUGAAGAGGUUAAGCUAAAACCCUCUCAUAUAUGUCUCAUUUUCCAUAGUAAAGAUAACAUAUUUAUAUGGAGGACUAUUUAGUUACACAAAGCCAGCCCACAGUUAGAAUUGAGAUGGCCCAGAUGCACUUUAUCACCUUGGUGAGAACUAGACCCUGAAAUCUUGUUGUUUUUACUGGUGCAGUUCUGCAGGACUGGAGUCUCACAAACUCUCCGUGAGGCUUAGACUCAAGUUACCUAAAUCCACUAAUUCCUGCAGGUGUAACCAAGAGCGAAGGUAUUGACAGCUGUUUUGGAUUGUGUUUUACUGGGGUUUUGGAAAAUAGGAAAUUAUUUGUGCCAUCAUCACUGCUUUCAGCAAAGCCAAAAAAUUAUUUGUAUUUAAUCUAACAAACAUGAUUCACAAUGCAGGUGGAUAGGAUGUUAUCCUAUAUCUUUUCCAAAUUCCCUUCACUUCAUGACUGGUGUGCUAAUCCACUUUCUCAUAUGACAGGGUACAUAAUAGCCUCCUUCUCUCCCCUUAUCCAGUUUUUUUUUUUUAACUCACAACUGACCACAGGUAUUAAGACAAUAUGGGAAUUUCUUAAAUGGUGGUCAUUGCAUAACCAGCAAUCAAAUCCACUUUGUAUCCCUAACAAUGAAUAGUUUUCAUGCAGAAACUUCCAAUACCUGUAAAAUGUAUGGGAGUUGAAACAAACAAACAAAAACAUGAUAAAACAUCUUUGAUUUUGCUGGCUUUAAAAAAAGAAAGAGCUAGGACAUGGGAGACCAGGGUUCAAGUCCCCGCUCAGUCAUGAAGCUCACUGGGUGACUUUUGUUGGUGACUUGAGGAGAUAAAGCCUAAUUUUACCUAUUUAUGCAUACUGUUGUAUGCCACCCCAGUCAGUGAACACUGUGAGAUUCCAGAGGUUCCAGGCACUUGCCCAGGAUUUGGUUUCUUGGAAUGAGGGACAGCAGACUGUGAUGUAUUUAUCAUAUAUGGUUUAUUACGCAUACAUACAACCUGAGCCUACAGUGGAAGGACUCACAAGACCCCAGAAGGUCUUGCUUCUCCCCUAGUUAAGUGUGGCUCUCACUCUCUGGCUUCUCCCUGCUUCCAGCCCAGCUCUCACCUCCGCAGUCCUCCGCUCUUGUCUUUCUCUCAACCAGACAGGGGAGGGAUUGGGCCACCCAGUUGCCCUCUAGCACAGAGCAGCUUCCUUUGUCAGACCAUACUAUGGCCCUUUCCUGGCUAACUCAACAAUUGAAUCCCCCAAACCAACAACAGUAUUUUACCCUGCCUCAUCAAGUGAUUUUUCUUGAGAUGCCUUCAGUCAUAAAGCAACAACAUGCUAAAACAUCUGUUUUAAAACAUAGUUUGUGGUAUGCACCUCUGAAACUACCUUUGUGAAAAUGCAAGAUUCUUCUGAACACUGGCUGCUGCAUGUACUUUUCACCCGUGAGAACACAGGAUGCAGCCAGGGAAGGCAGAAGGCAUAUUUGCAUACUGCUGUAACAACAGAGGCCUGGGUGUUCCCACCACCACCAGAAGUUCACUAAUUUUCAGCUGCUUUCAUUGUUUCUUACCGAGCCAGCAUCUAAACAUGAAAGAAACCACUUAUUGUUUAGCUUGGUGGUUGGCCUUUGUAAGUGGCAGAAGGUCACAGAAAGCCACAAGUAGGUCUCAGGAAGCCUGCCAUACAGUCAGAGGUUGAACUCAGGACAUUAGGCUUGUGAGCUAGCUACACAGCGACGAUAGGGAUUAUAGCAGAAGCUCAGGCAGAAAAUGCUGCCGACACCAGGCUCUGCCCUGGUCUUUCCCUAUCUUGUCAUAAGCCCUCAGCCUUGUCUCCAACUGACAAGAGCCUCUUCUCAUCGGGCCUCUUGCAGGCUGCUAAUAUUUGCCAGCUGAACUCCCUCUGUAAGUUGAAAACAUCCACAGGGAUUUGCCAGGCUGGAAUGCUGUACAGAAGAAACAUUCCUCUACUAAUGGUUUGUGGAUAUGUGUAACCUCAUUGCAUAGCGUAGGAAGCUUGUUCCCUUCCUGAAGGGUUGGCCUCCCACAGAACCAGGGGAAGGGGAACAAGAGUGACAUACGACUUCCCAUUUCAAUAGACCAGCCUUCACUGACCUGGUGCUUUCCAGAUGUUUUGGACUGCUGGCUGGGGCUAAUGGGGGGAGAUUGUGGUCCAAAACAUGUGGAGGUCACCAAGCUGGUGAAGACUGCAGUACGUUUUCCCUCUGCUCUCUCCUGUGGCAGAAGUGAGAGCUGUCCAGCAGCAGUUUGUGAGGAGAGUGGAGCAGCUGCUGCUGUUAGUCAAAAAUGAUGGGGGAAACCCAGGAUUCUAUUAUAGCUCUGACUGGACAACAUGUGUCUGAGUGGAAAAUUAAAAACCUUUUUUAAAAAACAACAACAACAAAUCAAAACAGUACAAAAAGGUCAGUGGAGAGCAAAGUUUUCAUAUGCAACUGAUGACUAGGUUUGGAAGGGGACAGAAGGGUUGCUAGAUUGCCCUAUGGCGCAACCCGUGAGUUGUUUGACAUGAAUGAGGGAAUUUCCCCUGGAAAUGCCAACCAGCCUUGCCUCAGCUCUAGUGUGCAAUGUUAAUAGUGGACUGUACCACUGGGCUGUUGUAAGUCGCUCUCUCUCAGUCACAGAGCACCUCAUAACCUACAAUAUGGGAAUACAGUAAUGAAAUGUAAUUACACUGACAGUAUUUUUUUAGGUGUAUAGAAAAUUUAUUAAUGCCUGUAUUUUACAUUGAGUUCUAUGGGCAGCUCAGACUUCUACUCUGGGUGGCAUUUUAAAAUGGCUUCCAAUAAGAACCCGGAAUUUAUAUUUCCAGACAAUGAGAUAGUUUACUCUGAUAUUUUUAUAGGCAUUUGAAAACAACAACAACAACGUACUGCUUUCUCCUUUGUGUCCCUUUGGCAUUACUUACAUUUAUAUAGGCCUAGCUCUAGAGUGACACUCUGCCAAUUUCUCCCCAAAACAUGUGCUAGGCCACAUUACUAUAGCUUUUACAAUAUGGUAAUCUAAUUGAGAAUCAGUUAUUUUAGUAAAGGUGAAAGAUUCAUACAAUCUGAAUAGAAAGCACAGCAUAUAGCAUGCUAUCAUUUCUUAUACAAAUAUUGAGGCCGAAAGUUGCUCAGUUUCACCAGUACUGUAUAUGCAAACAUCUGUCCCAUCUAAGACUUUAUAGAACCUUUAUUCUCAAUAAUUAUGGAACUCAUUGGUAGAGAAUACUUUUAUUUCUGCAUAUCUUUAUUAUUUGUAAAGGAAUCUUUGUAUGACUUAAUACAUUAUUCCUUGGAGCUGCACUAUAUCUUCAUACUUCUGUCCUUCUAGGCUUUGUGGUUUAUAUUUUUGAUACUUUAUUUUCUUUCUUUUUGUUAUGUCUGCAGUUUUAAAAUGAAUUUAUAUUUAAUCAUUAAUCAAGAAGCACGUUAUACUGUGCUAUGUAACUUUAAAAUAUUUUCCAGAAAGCAUAGUUGUGCAUCCUUGCCUUCCUGUUUGGUGUUAAGAUAAAAGCCUGCUUUUAAUUUUUAUUCAUCAAAAGUAUACUCCAGCUCAAAGAACAGGGAAGAGUACUUCAGUCCCUGAUGCCAGUUUCAUUUUGAAUUACUUCUGAAUGGAUUGGAGGCAUCAUGGCAAAGCUUUGACAAUGUGUUCUGCUGCUAAUAUCUGGUUCAUCUAUCGUGGCCCCAGUCGGAUUUAUAAUUUCUGCUUUCCUCUGCCACUCUUCAAAGGCUGAUGCAUCUCUUUACAUUGCAAUUGCAUGAAACUUGGCUCAUACAAGCCUCAGAUAUAAGAAACAGAUGCUCUACUUAGACUAACACAGGCCAGCCUACUGAUUCAAAAGUCGAAUGUGUUGCGACCUUGUAACAGAACUCAUAUUUCUCUUGUUGCAGUGCUGGUGAUUUAGCUGUCCUGGAAUUCAUCUGAACUAUUGUUGAGUUAAUCAGAAUUCCUCCAAGAGAAAUUCUCUUACAGUCUCUGAAUG